rnacentral:lncRNA from 1 species
UCUCCUCGCCCAGAGGUGCCUUUCCAAUGGCUCAGGCGAUUCUGACAUAUCCUUGGACAUCAACUCUGUGUGGCUAAGGCUCCAGUUAACAGAUGAGAAGAUUGCAAGUGCUAGACUCAAGGCAGCAGGGCACACACUGGCCCUCUUCUCACAGGUCCCCUCUACGUCCCUGCUCCCAAGGCAUCCCAGCAGUAACGACGGCCAGACCUCCAACCAGCUGCAGGCAGGAAGUCAAGGAGCGCCACCAGGCCUUGGGCUUGGCUAGUGCCCAUGUCUGCCAGGGAGGCCCAGCCCUGGCCUGCUCACUCCCAGCCUGGCCUCUCCUCCCUCCCCCACUUGGCUCAGCGGCAGCCCCUGGGCACUACUCACCGGUCUCCACUGGACCCGCUCUUGCACAGUGCCUGCGCGCGCACGCUGCCUCUGCCUGCAUGGUCUCCAUUCAUUCAUUCAAUAAACAUUUAUGGAACACCUACUAUGUACCAGGCACCGGCUAGGCCCACCCCCUCGGUUCUACCUGCAGUCUGCUCCUCCUCCAGGGUCCCAAGGGUGGGCAUUUUCCUGCCUUCCGAUAUCCUUAGGGUCGUUCCAAGGCAGGGCAGUAUGUCAGGGGACCUCUGGGGAGAAGCGGUGGCUCCGGGUUGGAGCACGCAGCCCACUGGGGUAUCCUGGCCUGUCAGGGGAAUACAUGGGCAGAAAAGGCGGCAACUAGGCCUGGAAGCUUUCCGGGAAGAUGGCUCAUCCCGGGGAAGCAGGCCUGUGAGCCUGUGCUGUUCUGAGCACUGCUAG